rnacentral:rRNA from 1 species
UACAGAGGGUGCAAACGUUGUUCGGAAUUACUGGGCAUAAAGCGCACGUAGGCGGCGCGGAAAGUGCGAAGUGAAAUCCCACGGCUUACCCGUGGACGUGCUUUGCAUACUUCCGUGCUCGAGGACGGUAGAGGAGAGCGGAACUCUUGGAGGAGCGGUGAAAUGCGUAGAUAUCAAGAGGAACACCAAAGGCGAAGGCAGCUCUCUGGUCCGUUUCUGACGCUGAGGUGCGAAAGCCAGGGUAGCGAACGGG